GAGGGGGUAGCUCAGUGGUGGAGUGUGUGCUUAACAUGCAUGAGAUCCUGGGUUCAAUUCCCUAGCACCUCCA
rnacentral:tRNA from 1 species